AGAGUUUGAUCAUGGCUCAGAGCGAACGCUGGCGGCAGGCCUAACACAUGCAAGUCGAGCGCCCCGCAAGGGGAGCGGCAGACGGGAGAGUAACACGUGGGAACGUACCCUUUGGUUCGGAACAACCCAGGGAAACUUGGGCUAAUACCGAAUAAGCCCUUACGGGGAAAGAUUUAUCGCCGAAGGAUCGGCCCGCGUCUGAUUAGCUAGUUGGUGAGGUAACGGCUCACCAAGGCGACGAUCAGUAGCUGGUCUGAGAGGAUGAUCAGCCUCACUGGGACUGAGACACGGCCCAGACUCCUACGGGAGGCAGCAGUGGGGAAUAUUGGACAAUGGGCGCAAGCCUGAUCCAGCCAUGCCGCGUGGGUGAUGAAGGCCCUAGGGUUGUAAAGCCCUUUCGGCGGGGAAGAUAAUGACGGUACCCGCAGAAGAAGCCCCGGCUAACUUCGUGCCAGCAGCCGCGGUA
rnacentral:rRNA from 1 species